GCCCGCGGUGGCUCAGUUGGAUAGAGCGUCUGCGCUGUAAGCAGAAAAUCCCGGGUUCGAGUCCCGGUCGGGGCA
rnacentral:tRNA from 1 species